AAAGACUUUACCGAGCGAUCGUAGACCGGAAAAGACUCUGAAUUCAAGGUCAACGGCGGAGGAGGGCGAACAUGGGAGGAGGAGAGGACCCGCAGAAGCUGAAGACGAUAGCGGCGGCGGCGUACGACUACGAGAACGAUCCGAUUAAUGGCCUCCCGCUCCGACGUCGUCGAUCACUUUUAGCUCGCAAGUUCUACCAGCGAUACAAAUACCUAGCAUGUAUAUUUGCUGUUCGAAAGCUGCGUUCGUUCAAUUACAAAACCAUCUGCUCCGCAGACAUCAUCUUCACUUCCAAAUAGCCAGUCACCAGCAGCACAUACCUCAGGUAUUGAUCUGGUUUUCAGUUUACUAUGAUCUAUGAGAUAUUUAAAUGGGAUUGGGGUCUUUCUCAGAAGUCAGCAAUUCCAUUUGUUUUGUUUAGUGAUAUUACUUUUCAUUUUAGAGUCAUCUGGAUUCUGGAAUGACAUCUAGGAUAUCAACAACUCCAGUUUCAGAUCCGACUUCUUUGCGCUGGGAUAGGCAAACUGUAUAGUUUUCUGUCAGUGCCUGGGUAUAUAUGGCAACUCCUUCCCAGACUAAUAAGCAUUUAAAGGAUAUGUUUUUGAACUGAUAUUGAAUGCAAAGUCAAAUCACCUGGAAUGCUUGCAGAAGACAUUUUGUUUUUUGGAUCAAAUGAAGGGGUUCAACCCGAAACCUGUAACCCUAUCUGAUAGUACUUCUUCUCGGGCUAGGUACACCCAGUCUGUUUUCCCUAAGCACCUGUAAAACACCAUCUGGAGGGAGCCCCAUGUAUUUCCUUCCAGUUUUCCCUCUGUUGGACAGCCAACCUUGCCACUCAGUCUGUAGCACAAUUUUGGUCCCUAUAAGACAUGCUUGACCUUGACAUCUGAAUCUUUUCCUGGCCAUUUCUUGCUUCCCUCAAUGAUGUUACGGAUCGGCCACGGGGUAAUUUUCCCCCCUUGAUCCAAUUGACAACCUCCAUGGAAUCACUUUGAAUCUCAAUCUUGUAGCAUCCCCUAUUCCAAGCCACUCUAAUCCCCUCCGCACUGCCCAACAUUUGGCCUCUGCUGCAUGAAAAGCUUCUUGGUUGCACAUGAAGCCACCAUGUCAGUUACCUUGAUUAUCCUGGAUAACUCCCCCACAUCCAGAGUUGCCGUUGCUGGCCUUGAAACAUCCGUCAAUGUUGAGCACCAUCCUGUCGUCGCAUGGCCUAUCCCACCUAACUGCCCAGACUUUAGUGCUAUCCCGUUGUCUCCUGCUGCCAUCAUGGUCAUUGAAAGCCUUCAAUGUCUCGUCUUUAGUGUCCAGGAUUUUUUUUGCCUUCCAUCUCAGAUUAGCUUCAGCACCGUUGAACACUACCAGUGCCAAAGCCACCACAGGGUCACUGCAAAGUGCAAACACAUUAGGCCAGUCCUCCCCAAAUCUGGUGUGCAAUCUGUUGCUCAGGUUCCUGUUUAGCCAAUUGGUGAAGUCCCUAUCAUUCCAACGCCUGGCAGGAGUGUUCUCCAAACCACCUCAGCCCUGUUGCAUUUGCAGAAAAGGUGAUCCAAGAAAACGUUUUAUUAGUUAGGGUAAAGUGCAUAUUAGGCCAAAGCUCUAAAGGGCUGGUACUUGCAGGUCAAGCCCUGUUUACUACUUUGCUUUAGUUGUCCAUCUUCUGGUCUUUAUUUGAUGAAAAAUGCCUAUCAACUGCUAGAAAUCACAUUUCAUACUGGUUUUAUGUACUGGCAUUGUGACCAGUUUAAAAAAUACAAUCUUUAGUGCAUACCACCAGUAAUACUAUAAGGAGACAGGCAACCACCAUUUAUUAACCUUCUUUUCCAUCUGGUUCUCAUUUCAGUUAUUAAUUGUGAUUUAAUCAGUGGGUCUGCCUCUUAUUACUAAAAAUCAACCAUGGAAGUGUGUUAGAAGUUUUGAACUUAUGGAUCAAGCUUUAUAUUCUGAUUGUGGGUUCUUCUGAAAUUGUUUGAAUUUGAUAUCUUGAAAAUGAGAUACAGAUACUGCAUAUAAAUUUGCCCAUUCCAAUGUCAAUAAUGACUAUGAGGCCAAAGAGGUCUAGCCAAUUGCCUUUUUCACAAUUAUGAAGGCUCCUCUCUCGUUCUUAGUCGUGGCACUCGUGGGCCCAACAAGAAGACCUUGACCCUGGGUGGUAGUGUAAUUCAUAAAGUUUGUUUUAGUUGAUUAAGUUGAGUUGGUUUGACAGGUUAAUAUGUUACUUUGGUAAAUGACUUAUUGCAUUAGUUUAUUAGGAUAAUAAGUUAAAAUUUGAAAA